rnacentral:rRNA from 1 species
AGAGUUUGAUCAUGGCUCAGAUUGAACGCUGGCGGCAGGCUUAACACAUGCAAGUCGAACGGUAACAGGAGAAAGCUUGCUUUCUUGCUGACGAGUGGCGGACGGGUGAGUAAUGCUUGGGAAUCUGGCUUAUGGAGGGGGAUAACUACGGGAAACUGUAGCUAAUACCGCGUAAUAUCUUUGGAUUAAAGGGUAGGACUUUCGGGCCACCUGCCAUAAGAUGAGCCCAAGUGGGAUUAGGUAGUUGGUGGGGUAAAGGCCUACCAAGCCGACGAUCUCUAGCUGGUCUGAGAGGAUGACCAGCCACACUGGAACUGAGACACGGUCCAGACUCCUACGGGAGGCAGCAGUGGGGAAUAUUGCACAAUGGGGGGAACCCUGAUGCAGCCAUGCCGCGUGAAUGAAGAAGGCCCUCGGGUUGUAAAGUUCUUUCGGUGAUGAGGAAGGUGUUUGUUUUAAUAGAACAAGCAAUUGACGUUAGUCACAGAAGAAGCACCGGCUAACUCCGUGCCAGCAGCCGCGGUAAUACGGAGGGUGCGAGCGUUAAUCGGAAUGACUGGGCGUAAAGGGCACGCAGGCGGUGACUUAAGUGAGAUGUGAAAGCCCCGAGCUUAACUUGGGAAUUGCAUUUCAUACUGGGUUGCUAGAGUAUUUUAGGGAGGGGUAGAAUUCCACGUGUAGCGGUGAAAUGCGUAGAGAUGUGGAGGAAUACCGAAGGCGAAGGCAGCCCCUUGGGAAUAUACUGACGCUCAUGUGCGAAAGCGUGGGGAGCAAACAGGAUUAGAUACCCUGGUAGUCCACGCUGUAAACGCUGUCGAUUUGGGGAUUGGGCUUAGAGCUUGGUGCCCGUAGCUAACGUGAUAAA